GUGGGCUACGGAGACACUUUUCCUGUGACUCUGGCUGGGAAGCUGAUAGCAACUCUGUGCAUCAUCUGUGGGCUGUUGAUCGUGGCUCUGCCUAUCACCAACAUCUUCAACAAG